rnacentral:rRNA from 1 species
GACGAACGCUGGCGGCGUGCUUAACACAUGCAAGUCGAACGGAAAGGCCCGCUUGCGGGUGCUCGAGUGGCGAACGGGUGAGUAACACGUGGGUAACCUGCCCCUGCUUCGGGAUAACUCCGGGAAACCGGGGCUAAUACCGGAUAUUCAUUGCUGGCCGCAUGGUUGGUGGUGGAAAGUUUUUUCGGCUGGGGAUGGGCCCGCGGCCUAUCAGCUUGUUGGUGGGGUGAUGGCCUACCAAGGCUUCGACGGGUAGCCGGCCUGAGAGGGCGACCGGCCACACUGGGACUGAGACACGGCCCAGACUCCUACGGGAGGCAGCAGUGGGGAAUAUUGGACAAUGGGCGAAAGCCUGAUCCAGCAACGCCGCGUGAGGGAUGACGGCCUUCGGGUUGUAAACCUCUUUCAGUAGGGACGAAGCGCAAGUGACGGUACCUACAGAAGAAGCACCGGCCAACUACGUGCCAGCAGCCGCGGUAAUACGUAGGGUGCGAGCGUUGUCCGGAAUUAUUGGGCGUAAAGGGCUCGUAGGCGGUCUGUUGCGUCGGGAGUGAAAGCUCAGGGCUUAACCCUGAGCCUGCUUCCGAUACGGGCAGACUAGAGGUAUGCAGGGGAGAACGGAAUUCCUGGUGUAGCGGUGAAAUGCGCAGAUAUCAGGAGGAACACCGGUGGCGAAGGCGGUUCUCUGGGCAUUACCUGACGCUGAGGAGCGAAAGUGUGGGGAGCGAACAGGAUUAGAUACCCUGGUAGUCCACACCGUAAACGUUGGGCGCUAGGUGUGGGACUCAUUCCACGAGUUCCGUGCCGCAGCUAACGCAUUAAGCGCCCCGCCUGGGGAGUACGGCCGCAAGGCUAAA